AAGGGUAUGUGAUCAAGUAAAGGAAGAGCACAAGGGGGAUGCCUUGGGGGCAUAAAGGCGAUAAAGGCCGUAAUAUACCUGGAAAAGGCCUCGGGAACCCGGUAAAAUAAGCUUCGAUCCGAGCGUUU
rnacentral:rRNA from 1 species